UACGGGGGGAGCAAGCGUUGUUCGGAUUUACUGGGCGUAAAGGGCGCGUAGGCGGCCACCGCAAGUCGACUGUGAAAUCUCCGGGCUUAACCCGGAACGGUCAGCCGAUACUGCGGGGCUAGAGUGCAGAAGGGGCAACUGGAAUUCUCGGUGUAGCGGUGAAAUGCGUAGAUAUCGAGAGGAACACCUGCGGCGAAGGCGGGUUGCUGGGCUGACACUGACGCUGAUGCGCGAAAGCCAGGGGAGCGAACGGG
rnacentral:rRNA from 1 species